rnacentral:rRNA from 1 species
AUUGAACGCUGGCAGCAGGCCUAACACAUGCAAGUCGAACGAGUGGCGGACGGGUGAGUAAUGUCUGGGAAACUGCCUGAUGGAGGGGGAUAACUACUGGAAACGGUAGCUAAUACCGCAUACCAUCGGAUGUGCCCAGAUGGGAUUAGCUAGUAGGUGGGGUAACGGCUCACCUAGGCGACGAUCCCUAGCUGGUCUGCGAGGAUGACCAGCCACACUGGAACGGAGAAACGGUCCAGACUCCUACGGGAGGAAGAAGUGGGGAAUAUUGCACAAUGGGCGCAAGCCGGAUGCAGAAAUGCCGCGGGUAUGAAGAAGGCCUUCGGGUGGUAAAGUACUUUCAGCGGGGAGGCGUUACCCGAAGAAGAAGCAACGGCUAACUCCGUGCCAGCAGCCGCGGUAAUUC